rnacentral:rRNA from 1 species
GUGGGGAAUCUUCCGCAAUGGACGAAAGUCUGACGGAGCAACGCCGCGUGAGUGAAGAAGGUUUUCGGAUCGUAAAGCUCUUUCGUUAGGGACGAACGUGCUCUUUGUGAAUAAUGAGGAGUAAUGACGGUACCUAAAUAAGAAGCCACGGCUAACUACGUGCCAGCAGCCGCGGUAAUACGUAGGUGGCAAGCGUUGUCCGGAAUUAUUGGGCGUAAAGCGCGCGCAGGCGGGAUAUCAAGUCUGUCUUAAAAGUGCGAGGCUCAACCUCGUGAGGGGACAGAAACUGGUAUUCUUGAGUGUCGGAGAGGAAAGUGGAAUUCCAAGUGUAGCGGUGAAAUGCGUAGAGAUUUGGAAGAACACCAGUGGCGAAGGCGACACACUGGCUCAUUACUGACGCUGAGGCGCGAAAGCGUGGGGAGCAAACAGGAUUAGAAACCCGUGUAGUCC